GAUCCUGACUCAGAACGAACGCUGGCGGCGUGCUUAACACAUGCAAGUCGAACGAGAAUCUGUGGACCGAGGAUUCGUCCAAGUGAAGCAGAGGACAGUGGCGGACGGGUGAGUAACGCGUGAGGAACCUGCCUUUCAGAGGGGGACAACAGUUGGAAACGACUGCUAAUACCGCAUGAUACAUUUGGGUGGCAUCAUCUGAAUGUCAAAGAUUUAUCG
rnacentral:rRNA from 1 species